CGGGUGAGUAACACGUGGAUAACCUACCUAUAAGACUGGGAUAACUUCGGGAAACCGGAGCUAAUACCGGAUAAUAUAUUGGACCGCAUGGUUCAAUAGUGAAAGACGGUUUUGCUGUCACUUAUAGAUGGAUCCGCGCCGCAUUAGCUAGUUGGUAAGGUAACGGCUUACCAAGGCAACGAUGCGUAGCCGACCUGAGAGGGUGAUCGGCCACACUGGAACUGAGACACGGUCCAG
rnacentral:rRNA from 1 species